AAUAUUGGACAAUGGGGGCAACCCUGAUCCAGCCAUGCCGCGUGUGUGAAGAAGGUCUUCGGAUUGUAAAGCACUUUAAGUUGGGAGGAAGGGCUUUAGGUUAAUACCCUGAAGUUUUGACGUUACCAACAGAAUAAGCACCGGCUAACUCUGUGCCAGCAGCCGCGGUAAUCCAGAGGGUGCAAGCGGUAAUCGGAAUUAUUGGGCGUCAAGCGGGCGUAAGGGGUUCAGUAAGAUUGGGUUGAAAACCCCGGGCCUAACCUUGGAACUGCUUUCAUAACUGCUGAGCUAGAGUACGGUAGAGGGUAGUGGAAUUUCCUGUGUAGCGGUGAAAUGCGUAGAUAUAGGAAAGAACACCAGUUGCGAAGGCGACUACCUGGACUGAUACUGACACUGGGGUGCGAAAGCGUGGGGAGCAAAC
rnacentral:rRNA from 1 species